CCUCAUUUGUUAUUUCGUCCAAAAUUAGGGCACACUUAAUAGAAUACCACUAUCACAUCACUAAAGAUGAGGAGAAUUUCUCUGUGUAUCCCUAACAAUGCUAUUAUACCCUUUAUUUCUUUCUUUGGUAUUUCCCAUUCUUAUUCAACUAGAGCUUAUUCUUCUUGCCAUGCUAAUAGAUCAAUUUCAGUAAAGGCUAAACUUGGGUUAAAUAGCAAGAUUGAGAAUGUCAAGUGUUUGGAUGAUGCUGUUACUCUCUUCCAUCAAUUGACAUUGGGUAUCCCAAUUAGUAAUUUCAUCUUGAAUAUUGUGAUUAAUAGUUAUUGCCUGAUGCAUCGUGCUGAUUUUGGAUUUUCGGUGUUGGCCAUUUACAUGAAGAAUGGCAUUCCGUUUAAUGUUGUCACCUUUACGGCUCUAACAAAGGGAUAUUUUGCUGAAAAUAAGGUCAAUGAUGCAGUUGAAUUGUUAAAAAAAUUGGUGAGAGAAAAGAUUUGUGAGCCUGACAAAGUCAUGUAUGCAACUGUCAUGAAUGGGCUGAGCAAAAGGGGCCAUACUAAAAAAGCUUUAGGUUUGCUCCGGUUAAUGGAACAGGGGAAUACUAAGCCCGACAUAUAUAUCUACACCAUCAUUAUGGAUGCCCUUUGCAAAGAUAGAAAUUUAGAUGCUGCUAUCAACCUUUUGAAUGAGAUGAAGCAGAAAGGCGUUCCUCCUGACAUAGUCACUUAUAAUUCUUUUAUUGAUUAUUUCUGUAAGCUUGGUCAGUGGAAAAAAGUUAUGACUUUAUUCUUUGAGAUGGUAAACCUCAAUAUUUAUCCAAAUGUGUGCACCUUCACCAUGGUGAUUGAUGGAAUGUGCAAAGAAGGAAAAGUUGAAGAUGCUGAGGAAAUACUUAGAUACAUGAUUGAAAAAGGUAUAGAGCCUAAUAUAAUCACCUACAAUGCGAUAAUGGAUGGAUAUUGUUUGUGUGGUCAACUGGAUAGAGCGAAGAGAGUGUUUGAUUCCAUGAUAGAUAAGAACAUUCAACCUGACAUUUUUAGCUAUAACAUACUAAUAAAUGGAUACUGUAAGGAAAACAAAGUGGCUGAGGCCAUGCAGUUGUUCCAUGAAAUUUCUCAAAAGGGAUCAAAACCUAAUAUUGUUACGUACAAUACUAUCUUGCAAGGUCUGUUUGAAGUUGAAAGAAUAAGUGAUGCAGAAAAGCUCUUUGAUGAGAUGCUAUCUACAGGGCCCGCACCCAAUUUAUACACUCACUGCACUUUGCUCAAUGGUUAUUUUAAGUACGGACUUGUUGAAGAAGCUAUGUCACUCUUUAAUAAGUUGGAAAGAAAGAGAGAAAACACUCAUAUUAAAUUUUACAAUUUUGUCAUUAAUGGAUUGUGCAAAAAUCGUAAACUUGACAAAGCUCGUGCUAUUUUUGAGAAGCUUUCUCUAAUUGGAUUGCUCCCGGAUACAAGAACAUACAAUUCAAUAAUAAAUGGAUUUUGUCUAGAAGGGUCGAUAGAUGAAGCUAAUCAUAUGCUAAGAAAAAUGGAGGAGAGCGGUUAUUUGCCGAAUGACAUCACUUACAAUGUUAUUGUGCGAGGAUUUCUCAGGUGCAGAAAAAUUAGUGCAAUGGCAACAUUCAUGAAAGAAAUGGUUGGAAGGGGCUUCUCAUUUGAUGCAAAUACCACUGAGUUACUGUUAGAACAUUGCUUGAGCUUUCGAGAGGCUCAUCACGGUCACAGCAGAAACUUAUGUUCUGAAAACGAUGCGACAGAUAAUAGGUUUCCAAGUUGCAGAAGCUAAAACAUGUACAGCCUUGUAAGGAUGGCGCGUCGAACGGUUUGAGAGUUCUUCUAUCAAUUAUGCCUUCAAAUAUCAAUAACUUUCGGCUAUCACAAUAAGCUAAUCUUGCAAAUUAUUUUUUAAAUAUAUAUCAACGCACAAAUAUUUUCUAUUGCCUUCGAAUACAUUGCUUUAUUUAUUUUUAAAUGCCCCUGCGUAUGCUCGCGGCCGUAUUGCACUGCACCUGCAUUGCUCACCGCUUUCAUAUGAUGCAUGCACUGCGCACCGCCCUUUGCAUCGCUUUCAUAUAUUGCCUGGGCCAUGCACCGCCCUUUUAAAUUUCCGCAUAAGGCUGCGCACCGCCUUUCAUGUUUGCAGGGGGCUGCGCGCCGCCCUUUGUAAUUUCUGCAUAAGGCUGUGCACCGCCUUUCAUAUGAUGCAUGGGCUGCGCACCGCCCUUUGCAUCACUUUCAUAUAUUGCCUGGGCCAUGCACCGCCCUUUUAAAUUUUCGCAUAAGGCUGCGCACCGCCUUUCAUGUUUGCAGGGGGCGGCGCGCCGCCCUUUGUAAUUUCUGCAUAAGGUUGUGCACCGCCUUUCAUAUGAUGCAUGGGCUGCGCACCGCCCUUUGCAUCACUUUCAUAUAUUGCCUGGGCCAUGCACCGCCCUUUUAAAUUUUCGCAUAAGGCUGCGCACCGCCCUUUGUAAUUUUUGCAUAAGGCUGUGCACCGCCUUUCAUAUGAUGCAUGGGCUGCGCACCGCCCUUUGCAUCACUUUCAUAUAUUGUCUGGGCCAUGCACCGCCCUUCUAAUUUUCUGCAUAAGGCUGUGCACCGCCUUUUAAUUAAAGUAGUCACCUUCGCAUUGUCUUAGUUUCAAAAUAUCAUUAUUAUGCAAACAAGAUUUGGACACAAUUGAAGUAAUUUUUCAAGUUUUAAUGAAUCAUGUAUAUUCUUAAGUAAGCAUAGUUGAUAAAGACAAAAAAAUAAAAAGGGGAAAUUUAAUGAAUCAUCUAUUAGUUUUUUUUUAUAUUUUUUUUAUUCACACUCUUAAAACUUAAAGUCAAUUAAACACUUUAUUGCUUGGUUCAUUUAAAUAUUUAUUAAACAUUACAAUAAACUCGCAUCUUCUUUACUUAUACGUCAAAUUAUUCUAUUUUUUAAAUCUCAUUUUAUUAUGCUACCUCCUUUUAAAGUUAUUAGUAAUUAUUAUAAAUUUUACUUCAAAUGGAAUUCUAGGAUUUCCUUUUAUAUAAAGUAUUAGUCUUAUUUUUAAUAGCCUUCUUAUUUAAAGUGUUAGCAACAUUUAUAAAUUUAUCUUAAAUGGCAUUUGAAGUUUCCUUUUUAUAUAAAUUAUUAUAUUUUUUCACAAAUCUCAUUCUCCACAGCAUCUUUGUUUAAAGCCAUAUCAACUCCUGUAAGUUUUAAAUAGCAUUAAAAACCUUUCAUGUAGAUUAUUAUAUUUUCUUAAAUCUUAUCUUAAACAACAUCCUGAUAUUUUAUAAACCUUAGCAACAUUUCUUAGCCCUUUUUUUAAGCUGCAAGCAUCUUAUUCAAUCUAAUUAAUUAAACCUAAGUUUGGUCGGAUAACCGUAAGUUAACGGAUUCUAAAGGAUGCCUAAUCCCUUCCCUUUAGGAUAAUAUAGAACUCUUACCUAGAAUCACACUGGUUAAGCAGACUAUUAACGGAGGUUUAAUUAGAUUUACCUUAGUUAAUAAUUAGGUGUCCUACUUCACCGUAAAAAUCAAUUAGGUGGCGACUCCUUAAAACAAAGCAAUUUAGGAAUCUCCAAUAUGUUGUACUCCGCUUCAACCCGGGUUAAAAUGGGGUAUAACAAUUGUCAUUGCUAUUCUAAAUGGAUCGUAAGUCCCGGUAUAUCGUGUACAGUGUUUUUUAGUUAUCUUCAGGUAUUAUCAUUUUCUAUCCCUGAACAAUAUAGUACAAAUAUUUGUGAUUUUCUGAAAUUGAAUCAGAAGUGGGUCAUGUAGGGUAUACUCUGGGUGAAUGGUCAACACCAUAUUCGAAUUAUUUAAGAAUAUAUUUUUGGAGAUUUAUAUAUGAUCCAAGAGUACUGGGUUCUUUAGAUUAUGGAUUCUUACUUUAAGUGUAAACUCUUCUUGGUAGUUUUAAGAAUUUGAGGAAAGGGACUCAUGCCUUAUGUUAUACUUCAACACUGUGUUAUUCUGCUGGUUACUUUAGUUAAUGAGAUGGAUAUAAUAGAGCUUUCACGAUCAUGUGUCCAUGUGUAGCUUCGUCAUAGUUGUCAAAAUAUUUAGUUAUCUGUGGAAUAUUGAAUCAUGUGAACACUAUAAGAGAGAAGUAACAUAUAUCUAAUUUCUUCUACAUUUAGUUUUCAGUAUGAUCAUGUUUUUGUCACAAAAUUGACCUGGUCUCUAGAUCAUUUGAAUGUCAGCUGUGAUCUUUUGUUAAUUUAAUUCUCCUUCAAUAACUUAAUAUAUGAUGAUGUCAACUUCGUUUAUGUAUGGGUUUGCAGGACAGGCUCAUCACGGUCACAGCAGAAACUUAUGUUCUGAAAACGAUGCAACUGAUAAUAGAUAACCGCAUUCACUGGUAUGACACGAAUGGUGUCCAACGGAGAAUGGUCCGUGUUGUUGCAAGUGAGCGUAGGGAUAAGCUGAACCGU